GAUGAAGAACGCAGCGAAAUGCGAUAAGUAAUGUGAAUUGCAGAAUUCAGUGAAUCAUCGAAUCUUUGAACGCACAUUGCGCCCGCCAGUACUCUGGCGGGCAUGCCUGUUCGAGCGUCAUUUCAACCAUCAAGCCCCCGGCUUGUGUUGGGGACCUGCGGCUGCCGCAGGCCCUGAAAACCAGUGGCGGGCUCGCUGUCACACCGAGCGUAGUAGAUUUUCAUCUCGCUCAGGGCGUGCUGCGGGUUCCGGCCGUAAAAAGCCUUAUUUACCCAAGGUUGACCUCGGAUCAGGUAGGAAGACCCGCUGAACUUAAGCAUAUCAAUAAGCGGAGGA
rnacentral:misc_RNA from 1 species